rnacentral:rRNA from 1 species
AUACGUAGGUGGCAAGCGUUAUCCGGAUUUACUGGGUGUAAAGGGCGCGUAGGCGGGGGUGCAAGUCAGAUGUGAAAUCUAUGGGCUUAACUCAUAAACUGCAUUUGAAACUGUAUCUCUUGAGUGCUGGAGAGGGAGACGGAAUUCCUUGUGCAGCGGUGAAAUGCGUAGAUAUAAGGAAGAACACCAGUGGCGAAGGCGGUCUACUGGACAGUAACUGACGCUGAGGCGCGAAAGCGUGGGGAGCAAACAGGAUUAGAUACCCUGGUAGUCCACGCUGUAAACGGUGAAUACUAGGUGUGGGGGGACUGACCCCCUCCGUGCCGCAGUUAACACAAUAAGUAUUCCACCUGGGGAGUACGGCCGCAAGGUUGAAACUCAAAUGAAUUGACGGGG